ensembl:miRNA
CUCUUGAGGUACCUGAAUUCUCAAAAGCUUUAUGUGUUCUGAAGUUAAUUGAAAAUAAGACCUUUUGGGAAUUCAGGUAGUUCAGGAGUG